GCCUACGGGGGGCAGCAGUGAGGAAUAUUGGUCAAUGGUCGGGAGACUGAACCAGCCAUGCCGCGUGAGGGAGGAAGGCACAGAGUAUCGUAAACCUCUUUUGUCAGGGGACAAAGGCGGAGACGUGUCCCCGGAUGAGAGUACCUGACGAAUAAGCAUCGGCUAACUCCGUGCCAGCAGCCGCGGUAAUACGGAGGAUGCGAGCGUUAUCCGGAUUUAUUGGGUUUAAAGGGUUC
rnacentral:rRNA from 1 species